CAAGACCAUAGUAAAGCUACCAGCACAAAUCUGUAUAUUUCAGCCUUGUUCACCAUAGCUAGAAUAUGGAACCAACCCAGUUGCACCUCACUAGUUGAAUGGAUCAAGAAAAUGUCAUAUGUGUGUGUGUAU